rnacentral:lncRNA from 1 species
CACGCAGUUAAACCCACAACUUCUCUGCAAAACAUCCAGCAUCACAUUUUCACUCACAAAUGGAAAAUCCCUGGUUACUAUUAGCCCUACUUUCCGCACUUGCUAUAGCCCUCAUCUCAAAGAUAGUAUUCAAAACUGAUCAAAAACUCCGGCCGCCCGGUCCAAAACCAUGGCCUAUAAUAGGCAAUCUGAACCUUCUUGGCUCAAUCCCACAUCAAUCCCUCCACCAUUUAUCCCAAAAAUACGGCGAAAUAAUGUUACUAAAGUUGGGGAAAUUUCCAGUGGUGGUGGCAUCAUCACCCAAGAUGGCCGAGCAGUUCCUCAAGGUGCACGAUGCAGCCUUCGCGUCGAGGCCUCCCGCACUUGCCGCCGGCAAGCACAUCAGCUACGACAACUCUGACGUGUCCUUCUCUCCCUACGGCCCAUACUGGCGAGAAGCGCGUAAAAUAUUGAUGUCGGAGCUCUUGGGCACCAAAAAACUGGACCAGUUUGAGCAAAUUCGCGUUGAGGCGAGGCGUUCUUUCUUCUCACGUCUCAAAGCCCUGUCGGGGAAGCCGGUUGUGCUCAGAGAGCAUCUAUCGCGUUACAUUAUGUCGACAAUUUGUAGGAUGGUUAUGACGAAUGAAUAUGUUGGCGAUAGCUCUAUUAUAGAUGAUGGUGGCAUGGCGGAGAUGAUGCGCGACUGGUUUGUGCUCACUGGAGUGUUCAAUAUCGGGGACUGGAUACCGUGGCUCGGCCCUCUUGAUCUGCAGGGCUACGUUAGGAGAAUGAAGGCUUUCCGCAAGAAAUCAGACAGUUUUUUUGGGUAUGUGAUUGAUGAUCACAUAGCUAGAAGAAGAGACGGCGCCGACAAAGAUUUUGUUGAUGCCUUGCUAGAUUUAGCUGAGGAUCCUAAUGCUCAACUUCAUCUCACAAGGGACUCUCUCAAGUCAUUGAUAAUGGUACUAGUUUCUCACAUUUUUUAUUUUUAAUUCACAAAUAUUUCCUAGAAAAUUCAUACUGUUACAUGUAUAACUGCACUCUCUCUACAUAUAUUAUUGUAGAACGUUGUACUUGGCGGCCCAGACACCUCAAUCACAACAGUGGAAUGGGCCUUACACGAAAUGUUCAGACAACCGCGCAUAUUUGAGAGAGCGAGGGCAGAGCUGGAUGCAGUGAUCGGCAGGGAUAGAUGGGUGGAGGAGAAUGACUUCACUCAGUUGCCGUACGUUGAUGCCAUCAUCAUGGAGACAUUCCGCUUGCAUCCAAUUGCUACGUUUUUAGCUCCCCAUUACGCGAUUCAGGAUUGCAACGUUGCAGGUAUAAGAGAUUAAUUUCUUAUCACAUGCAUUUAUAUACCAAGUAUGAGAUGUAACACAAAAAUAUUGCAGGAUACAACAUAUCAAAAGGGACGAGCAUCCUCAUAAAUACAUGGAGCAUAGGCAGGGAUCCCAACACUUGGGAUGCGGCUGAGGAAUUCCUGCCGGAGAGGUUUAUGGGGAAACAGACCGAUAUGACCGGAGGUAACUUUGCGCUAUUGCCGUUUGGGUCGGGCAGGAGGAUAUGCCCGGCAUACAACCUCGGCCUUAAGAUUGUUCGAACAACGUUGGCUAAUCUGUUGCAUGGAUUUGAGGUGGAAUUGGAGGAGGGCAUGAGGGCUGAGGAUGUAAGCUUAGAGGAACAGUACGGACUCGCCACAAAUCCAAAACACCCUGUUUCCAUCAUUGUGAAACCUACACUUCCUGCCCAUCUAUACUAAAUUAGUUUCUCAGUAAUUGCUAAAUACUUUCAUCAACAAUUCAAGAUGAUAUAUAUGGAUAUCUUGUGUUUGUGUGUACACAUAUAUAUGUGAAUUAUAUUGAUGAUAUAUGAAUGGCCCAGAUUUGGUGAAAUCCAGCUUCCCCUAUAUUUUGCAGUUGAGAUAUGCAUGUCUUUCAAUUUCAUUAGGAAUUAUGUUAUGUGUAUAUAUCUUUUUUGUUUNGUUUCCACCCUCCGACGCCGCUUACAGCCUGGAGUCACCGCAUACUCCAGCCUGCCUUUCUCUCUAUUUCAAUUCGCUUAUCAUUCUAUUUUGCUAUUCCGAUACUGACUUGAGCGUCGGAGGCUCUACGGUCGACACCCCCACCCGGUGCUCAACCUAGGGCUCUUACGUGUUCUUGUGUUGACAGGUUGCUAGUGCCCAAACUAUCCGGACGUGCAGACGUCAACUUCAAUUGUAGAUUUUAGCCUCUACAAUAACUAUAAAAUUGUCAUUUAAUUUUGAAAGUGAUUCUCAAUUGAAAGUUGUUUUUUUAAUGUAUUAUAGAUCAUAGAUUAUAGAUAUAGAUAUAGGUUAAUAAUUUACAUUACACGUACCCUCCAGCUGGACAAAAUCAACGCUACAAGUUGUAGAUCAAAAAGAAAGAGUAGUUACCAAUACAUUUCACGCGAUAAACUACAUUUUUUUGUUUAGACAUUGGAAUAGAAAAUUCAACAUUUUCUCCGAGGAAAAUCUCGUUUUCUUACUCCAUUUACAACAAAUGUCACAUCCCACAGUUGAAGUCUAUUUUUCUAAAUUACAAAUCACCCAAAACAAAAAAAUAUUUUUCACUCUGUUUUAGCCAAUACCGACCUCGCUACGCAGCAAACAUGUGUACAGUAAAAUAAAAUAAACACAGAGAGAGACUAUAAGUAUCCAAUAUUUCGUGAACAAAAAAUAAACGCAGUUAAACCCACAACUUCUCUGCAAAACAUCCAGCAUCACAUUUUCACUCACAAAUGGAAAAUCCCUGGUUACUAUUAGCCCUACUUUCCGCCCUUGCAAUAGCCUUCAUCUCAAAGAUAGUAUUCAAAACUGAUCAAAAACUCGGGCCGCCCGGUCCAAAACCAUGGCCUAUAAUAGGCAAUCUGAACCUUCUUGGCUCAAUCCCACAUCAAUCCCUCCACCAUUUAUCCCAAAAAUACGGCGAAAUAAUGUUACUAAAGUUGGGAAAAUUUCCAGUGGUGGUGGCAUCAUCACCCAAGAUGGCCGAGCAGUUCCUCAAGGUGCAC